rnacentral:lncRNA from 1 species
GUUUGGUUUGAUAGUUUAUUUAUUCAUGUCUACUAUCCAAUGUGAUUCAUGUGCUUAUAUGAUUACUUUGAAUGUGAUUUGGAACGCAUUCCUAAAUCUCAUUCAUACUCUGGCCAGAGAUUCUAAAUCAUAUCAUAGAGUAUUCUCCCGCAAACGGUUUGAAGGUUAGAGAUCCCUUGUUGCGCAUUCACUUGCCUCCAUGA